UGACUCAGAUUUUUUUCACCAUUUGGCAAAAAGAAAAAAGUAUCUGUUCCCUAGACAAUUGUUUCUGAAGCUCUAGAGGUUUGUGCAAAUUUUCAUGCAGAAAUCAUACGUUGACAUGCAAACCAGCAUUCCCCUAUCAUGUUUCCUCUGCUGUCCUGCUGUGAACCCAAUUUGAAGGACAUCUCAGAAACUGUAACUUUUGCCUGCUUGCUUGCCCAGACUUCUGCAGUGCCUGCAGAAAUCAUGUGGGAACCGGAAGGGCUGGCAAAAAUGGAAUACCCACUGACAAAACAGAACGCAGAACCAGAAUCGUGGCUUAGUGCAAGCCAGCUCACAGUUCAAGGCUCAGACUUCUCUCAGAAAGCAUAUACAUGCUCUAUGAAGCAGGAAGCGAAUGCACAACCACUGGUCAAAGCCACCAUCGAUAGCAAAAAGUGCAACUGUGGACCCCCAAAGCCCGUCCAAGUUCAAAUCUUAAGCCCUGGCUGUAAUGAAAAAGUGGAAGAGUCCACCUUGGAGCUGGUCUGCCUCCUUCGGAGCCUUGGUUCUGGAAGUGCUGGUGUGGAGUGGCUGAAGAAUGGAGAAGCAUUUCAAGAGAAAGUGGAGGUGAUGUUGACUGCAAGCAAGAACUUGGAGGGCACUUACUCCAGUUUUGUCAGACAGAACAUCCUCAAAGACAGCUGGGAGAAAGGGGACCAGUACACAUGUAAAGUCUACCGUCCACCUAAGAGCGAGAACAUAACCAUGCGCAACACCAGCAAGUGCAAAGCCUGCUGCAGCUCGGUGCAACAAUUGACCAUCUCUGUCAUCAAGCCAUCCCCAAAGAACCUGUUUGAGGGCAAAGCAAAUUUGACCUGCACUGUGGUUGGCCUCAACCUUGAUAAUGUCCAUAUAACCUGGUAUGUGGAUGACAAGCGCAGCACUGAAGGCCAGAAAGAUGCGGUGAAGGUAGACGCAAGCGGAAGUCAGAACGUGAGAGGUUUCCACCCGGUAUCUUUGGAGCAGUGGAGAAGAGGCACCAAAUUCACCUGCAAAGCUGCUGGGCCAUGCUAUGAAGAAGUCUCCAAAGAAGUAACCAUCAAAACGGAUUCACACACCACAAAGCCCUCCAUUGCCAUUUCUCGAGCGUUCCUUGAUGUCUCGCUCAAGAGCACCAUGGCUCUGAUUCUUCUCUGUGAUGUGAGCGGGUUUUCCCCCCAGGAAAUUAGCAUCUCCUGGCAGAGGGACAACAAAGCUCUGAAUGAAAACCUCUAUGACCAUGGGAUCGUGAUGCCCGCUGGGAGCCUCUACAACACUUACAGCCUCCUGAAGAUCAGCCGCGAUGAACCAGGGGGGAGGGCAGGCAACUAUAGCUGUGUGGUCCACCAUUCCUCUUCUGAGACACCAAUCACAGCCAGUGAAAAUGUCCCCAUUGGUUUUUUGGAACCAGCUUCCCCAAAAGUGAUGGUAUUUCAUACCUCAGAGGAUGGGGAAUGCCAGAAACUUGUCUGCUUUGCCACCAACUUCUAUCCCCAAAAUAUAAACAUUCAAUGGAGCAUCCAAGGACAUAAUCUCAGCUGCAGUUCAGAAUCUUCAAGUUCACUCUCCCUCACUGAUGGGACCUUCCAGAAGAACUGCAGUUUGGUACUCAGAGGAGAAGAAUGCAAGAAGCAAGAAAUGUAUACAUGUGCUGUUACUCAUAGUUCAACCAACACCUUCAUUAAGAAGACCGUGCCUUCUUGUGGCAUGACCCCAUCUGUUCACAACAAGACGGAGAUCAUUAUGCAGCCGCCAUCCUUUGAAGACCUCCUCAUGAACAAACGUGCAGCUGUAACCUGCAAGAUGCCUCUUGUGAAUGCAACCUCCAAUUCAAUCAUCAAUUGGACAAUGGAUGGGAAACCUGCUGACAUGAAUGCUGUGACAACCGAAGUCUUUUCAGAAGACAACAGCACCCUUUGGAUCGCUGGCCAGCUGUGGGUGAAUCUGUCUGAAUGGAGAGCCACCAGGAUGUUCACCUGUAACAUCCACAAUGACCUAGGAGAAACUAAACAGAACCUCGACCGAAGGGAUGGCAUUAUGAAGGCUCCUGAAGUCUACCUCCAACAGUCUUCCAAGGAAGGCAUGAACGUAACCCUAGUGUGCAUGGCCAGAAACUUCUACCCAGCAGAAAUAUUCCUGAAGUGGGAAGAGGAGGACAAGGAGAGGUCACUGAAGAGUUAUGAGGCCCACGAUUUGAAUUGUAAUCAUGAAGAACAGAGAUGUUCCUUAGUGAGCAUCCUGGAAGUCCCCACAAGCAAGUGGAUGAUGGGAGUCUCCUACACAUGCCUUGUAGUUCACAUCUCCUCUGAAAACAUCAUAACUAGAAGAGCCAAUAUCUUUUCUGAUUCCUGGGACUGUGCCAUCAUGGGGGUUGCCUUGUGUGAUGUCCGCAAUGAAAAUGAAGAUGAGUACAGCGAACUGGAGGAUGCCAACAGUGUCUGGAACAAAGUCUCCACUUUCAUGGUGCUCUUUGUUGUUGCACUCUUCUAUGGAGGCCUUGUCACUUUCAUCAAGGUGAAAUAAUUGUCAUCUUUUAUUCUUCAUGAAGCCUAUUCAGAACAGAAGUUCAUCUAUGUCUCUCCUUGGUCCAUCUUUCUCCAACUUUCUCCAUUAUAUUUCCUAUCUGCCACAUUUUCCAUGGUUCAGAAGGGAGGACACAACAAGGCAUUAAUGACAGCAAGCAUUAAUUUCAAUGUCCAUCGGUGUUUGGACAAAUUGCACCGAAACUCACACAGGCAAUUUGGUCCAUGUAUGGGCGAUGGGCCACUACAACACUGAAAGAAAAGAACUCCAGUUACAUGAGCAUUAUGCCAAAGGUCACAAAUGCAGUAGCUUGUUAUGGAACCCCAACAGCGGAUUGCAAAUUCAGAGAAGUUUCUUGAUGCAGAGGAGUUAUGCCCAUGCCGAAGAACAAAAUGGAGCACAGAAAGGCAUGAUCCACCAACUAUCCCUGAGUAGCCAAGUUUGUUACUCCUCUGUAUUUUUCAAGUCUGACGACUGAUGGGUUGAGAAAACCCAUUGGAGUCCAAAAUAGUGAAAAUCUGUCCCGCUGAAAGUUCCUCCGUGAUACAUUUUUUGUUAUAGCGUCUCAGCAAGUCCUCUCAAACCUGCUGAACCACCCAUUCUUCAGCAGUGACUCCCUUACAGUUUGAGCAGGCCUGCCACAUUUAUCUAUUGUUACAAGCGCAGGCACAAGGGUUCUCUCCAGCUCAGAGACCCAAUAUUUAGUUUUAAGCGUGUUGAGAAAGUAGGAGAUGAGUAGCUGCAGCUGCUUUCGCUUGCCAUGAUUUACAUUUUCAAGAAGAGUGUUAAUACAUUAGCAUAUCACAUUUGCAUUAAGUUGUCCCUAUUAUUGCUUUUUCUAACUGAGGCAAUUCAAACUUGACUUAUCUACCACUUUACAGGCUAGUUAAAAAUGAUAUUUUGCUAUUCAAGGGCUGUCGGCUAACACUUGGCCUUGAAGGAAUUGCUUAGCACCAGAGAACUGGCUAAAGCAAGGUACAAAUACUAAUAUGUUGAACGUUUUGAGUGCUAGUCAUUUAUUAAAGGUCACAGCUCUAAGUGGUUGUUCUCUUGAAACUCUAUCUAACGUGUGUGGUGUCUAUCCAUUAGCCAAGUUUCUGAUGUAUAUUUUAUCGAUGUACGUAGCACGUAACUACAUUACGGUCAAUUGCACUGGAUUCUUUUAUGGUAACUGCAUUAUGGGGACAGACAUCUCAUAAUGUCAAGGUCAGUUUAAUCUUACAGAGCUUGGAUUCCCAACCUCUCUUAACUUUUGCCAUUUCGUGUUGCUAUAAAAUGCAUUAAAAUUGAUUUGCAUUGCAUUCCACUGUAGUGUACCAAAUCGCAUUGAUUUAUAUUAAACUAUCCUUAGAUAUA